rnacentral:lncRNA from 1 species
GGCCCGUGGCGUCGCCAAAGACACAGUCUGGACCAGCAGUCAGCAGUUGUUUUUGCUUCUGCUUCCUGUCCCGGGUGGCGAGUUGCAUCCAGCCAUGAGAUGUGGCCUGGAAAAACAAACCAAAAAACCAAAACCAAAGGUAUUUCUGAUGCUUGAGUUGAGCGGACGCUGAGAUGUGUCAGCCAGCCCUGAUCUUGGCAAAUACAGUUUCGAAUGGUAUGUCCUUCCCUUUCUAGAGCCACGGCAGUUCAGCGCUAUCAUUCUUCCUCACAGUGAUGGUGUUUAAUUUACUUUUGAAAAUUUAUUUCAGGUCCUGGCUGAAAUGACAUUCGAUGAACAUAUUCACACAAUGAACACAUUUCCUAAAAGGUUCUGAACCUAUGAGUCCUACAAAUUGGUGGUUGGAUUUGGAGGUUCCAUCAGAUUCAAAUUUUAUAUUUUUGCAAGAAAUGCCUUUUAGAUAGUUUUCUCUACCUCAGUGAGGAGACAUAUCGCUGAAAUGUGGUCAUUUCAUCAAUCUCUUCAUCCAUCCAUCUAUCCAUCCAUCCAUUUAUUCAGCUAUUCCUUCACCAAGCACUCAGAAUGACUCCUCACAGUGGAAAGAAAAUCAGCUUUGGACUCACACCUCUAAUAGGAAAAUGCCAUUCUGCCUCUUGCCAGCUGUGUGAUCUUGGAAAAUCUGCUCAACCCCGCUGAGCCUCAGUUCUCUGAAUAAAGAAUGACCAGGCAAUACUCUUUGAAAAUUGGAGACCAUUUGCAGCUGCUCUCUGUUGAGGAAAGUGAAUAAUAGGGUGCCCUCAAGGAAUUUCGAAGGUAUCACUCAACAGAAACUUUUGUGUCUGAAGAAAACUAGAUCAUUUUAUCAUGAGCUUAUAUGUAUUUCUUUAUAUUGAGGUAUAUAAUGAACUGACGAAUAAAAAUCUAGAGAGUCUGGAAGUUUCCCUUGCCCUUGACCAGGAACAAGCUGUGGACGCCUUUAAGAUCUGUGCCGAUGCAGGUACUGUUCCCCAGAGAUAAUCGAAGAGCAAAGGAUAAAAAAAAUAAAGGUUGAAAGAAAACAGGAAAAGUCCUUCACCAUAAAAGCGGUGAAAAAGCCAAAGUCUUCAGAAAACCUCGACUGCCUGUUAACAUGUUUAAAACAACUCUGGUAUAAAAUGAGCAGUGGCACCGACAGGUGACUCGGGCGCAGUUGAAAAUUUGUGAGGAUGGUGAGGACACCGAAAGUCUAUAAUGUGCUUUUUUUUGAAGGACGAAGGUCUUUUAAUUGACAUGUGAAAACCAGUAUAUGUUUGGCUCAGAGAUCUGUUACUAACUAGAUGCCAAAGAGGAAUGAUGACCUGGGACAAAGAACCUAGCCAAUAUGAUUGACAUCGGGCAGAGGAGGGCAUUGGGCGUUCCGAAGCCUUGCGCCCUCUGCUCAUCACACAUCGCACCAGCCGUCAAUGAAAGGAACAAGGGACGCCUAUGGGUCACCAUCUGGAAGACUCUCUGAGUUAAUACCGGGGGAUGGUGCCGUGGCUUUACUGUCUGAUGCGAAGAGAGGCUGUGAAGGGAGAUGGAGUGACAUUCUCCGGAUAAAGCAACAAUGUUUACGUCUUCAUAGUGAACUUUAGCCCCCCAAAAUCCUGUGCAUUGUCCACAUCUCACGGGGCACAAAUCGAGUGUGACAGUAAGACUUUGUCUAUGGAGAAGUGGUUUAGCGUCCUAACUUAGACCUGAAAGAAGGCUGGGAGUUCCCGUGGCGGCACAGCAGAAGUGAAGCCGACUAGUAUCCAUGAGGAUGUUCUCUCCGAGACGACAUGGCUCAUAAUGGACGGUUCAAGCCAAAUUAUCCAUUAUUGUUCUCAAAGUUUACAAUUAAACUAUCGAUCAAAGCUGGCAGUGAUUCCUCCAGCAGCCCAAGCGCAGGGGCCGCCGAAUUGCAUCAGAACCCGAGUGCGUCCAGGCAGAAGCAGAGGAUGCAGACGGACCAGACAGCAGCCUGACAGACACACAUACCCUCCACCCAUCACCCCGGGAUCCAGCAUCUGGUACUUUUCCUGGAGCCAGCACACGGGCCGCAACCCGGGGGUGCGUGGUCUGCGAGUGCGCGGGUGCGGUUUUAAUAGCGAGAGGUCCACGCAAUUUGCGACCCCCAUCCCUGGCUGGAAAAAUUGGAGUUUAACAGGUUCGGCUCCAUAGGGAACCAAGCUCAGCUUUUAGGCUCCUUCAGACACGGCAGAAUGCAUCUUUUCUGGGGAAUUCCACAAUAAAAUGACUGUUAUUUAUCAUUACAAACCUCUUUAUCAUUUAGUCAAUAAAAGCCCUCUCUCUCUCUCACUUUUCUUCCUGUGGCGUGCUCAGAGUCAGAAAUCGGUAUUAGUCUCUCCUGGCCUGGAGGCGGGAGAUGUCAGAGCCUGAAUCAUGGUCCACCCUGGCUUCCUGGCGAAAUUGUGUGUGAAGGCCUGAGGCCAAAAGGUGCACAUGCUCAUUAUUUGAAACACAGAUUUUUGCUCCCUUUCCUUUAGUUUUUCUUUCUUCUCUUUCUCCUUUUUACAUAUUAAGACCAAUUUUAUAUAUAUAUAUAAUAUGUAUAAAACUCAUAAGACAUCGGACAUGAGCGAGGCAGUCAGAGCUUAGGGGGGCGCCUUGCCUUCGUGUAGUUGUUGAUCAAGAAAUUGAAAGUGGAUUGUCAUUUAAACUGAAAAGGACAGUGGAUUGCACCUCUUGAACGUUUAGAUCCCAGGGAAAUACCGGAGAGUGCGCUUUAGAAUGACUGGGUGUCGGUAACAGGUGCCUUCAAAAUGGAGAACAGACUGAAAACGGCGGAAUUCUGGUUAAGCAUUUGGCACUUGUUAUUUUUACUUACGUGGAGGAGAGGCUGAGGUCCUGCUGCAGACAGGUAGAGGGGUCCCUGCCUUUGCAUCGGCAGGCAGGUGUUUCCUUGGGAUCCUCUCACCUCCUCCAGCACGCCAGUGGUGGCCAUGUGGGGUGAGGCGCCAGGGGCCCCCAAAGUCAAUACGAAUCUCAAGGUAAGACCUGCCUUUGGGAGUUCCCGCUGUGGCGCAGUGGCGUAAGAAUCCAACGGCAGCAACUCAGGUUACCGUGGAGGCUCAGGUUCCAUCCCCGGCCCCCAGCGCAGUGUGUUCAAGGAUCUGGCAUUGCUGCAGCUGUGGCACAGGUCACGGCUGUGGCUCAGAUUCCGUCUCUGGUCCUAGAACAUCCAUAUGCACGGAUGAGGCCAUUAAAAGAAAAACUCAGUGCCUUUGGACCUGACACAGACAUGGUAUGGACAUUAAGCCAACUACCCUGGGUGUGGCUGGAAUUUCAAAAAGUACCGAAUGGUGGCCUUAGAUUUCCUCUUCAUUAAACUGCGGAGGGUGUGAGCUCUCCUGAUUUUUCCGUAUGCCAAAUAAAGACAACACUCUGCAGGUGAGUUUGUUCGUACCUUCAACAUCGUAUUUAUUCCACACAUGUUGUGAGCUUCUCCUGUGUGCCCGAUACUAUGCCAGUGAUGGGAAUACAGCCACGAGCAAGUGGGGGCUUAGGGAGCGCCGUAGGAUGAGCCCCGGAAAAACCGAAUGAGCACCACUACCUAUAUCCAUGUUCAAUUAUUUCAUUUAUAAAGGGGCAAUUUACUGAUAAAGAAAGAAAAUGUCACUAUGUUUUUGUUGCUAAAAUCUUGGCAUUUCCCUUGUAUAUUUAAUUCCUGGAGGAAAUAACAUCUAGAAGCAUAGAAACCAAUGUUUCUAGAGCUGAAAAUACCUUAGAAUUAUGUUUGAUACUCCUAUUUUAUAGAGGAAGAAAUUAUGGCUUAAAAAGACAGACAAUGAAGAAACAAAUAUUUUAUGAAGACUCAAUUAGCAGUUUCGGUAUAGGAACUGAAACUUGGAUUCCUGCGUCUGUGACCAGCUUCCUUCCUCUGGAAUCUCCUCAUUCUUAUCUUUUUUGUAUGGUAUUUACUGAAAAGCCAUUCGAGGUUGGCUUGGCAAUGACAGGACAGAAGAAGAAGUAAAUACUUGGACUUAUCAUUUGCUCAUCCAGAUUCUUUCUUUCUUUCUUUCUUUUUUUUUUUUUUUUUUUUUUUUUGGCUUUUUAGAGCUGCACCCAUGGCAUAUGAAAGUUCUCAGUCUAGAGGUUGAAUCAGAGCAACAGCUGCUGGUAUACGCAGCCACAGCAAGGCCAGAUUUGAGCUGCGUCAUGGCAACGCCAGUUCCUAAACCCACUGAAUGAGGCCAGAGAUCAAACCUGCAUCCUCAUGGAUCCUGGUUGGGCUCGUUACCACUGAGCCUUAACGAGAACUUCCUGCUUAUCCAUAUUCUUUAAGAUGAGUAAGAAUUUACACAUGCUUAGCAUAGCUCAGCUGGGGGCUUCAAUUCAGAUAUAUAGAUAUAGAUAGAUAGAUAAUUUAUUGAUAAUUAUCUCUGGUGUAACAUGAACAGAGAUUAAAAGUCUUUCAUUCUGGCCCUCCAGUCUUGUUCGAUUGGCGUAUGCUCCACUCUUGAAUAUAAUCUCCAGGAGAGAGCAAUUGUAUAGAAUUGUAAUCUGCAAAGAGAAGAGCAACUUCCAAAGAAUUCAGGUUCUUCUUCCAGGAAAGAAGCAUUCUUGCAGUAUUCAUGUUCUAAGUCGCCCCAGCUAAUCUUCAAGACUAUAUAUGAACAAGUCUCGGGGGAAGACAGACCAUGUGGUGGGAACCCACAGGUGCCUAGACCAGAACCCACAUUUUCCAUAGACGUCUCUGUGACGUCAAACGCUUUCUGCCCCUUCUCGCCAGACCGUAGAACUGGCCAGAGGAAAUCGGCCACUUGCACUUAUUAAUUUAUUUGUAUCCAAAAUGGCCUGGAAUGUUUUUAAAUGCUCACAAAAAAAGACGGCUUUAGACUGAAGCCUGAUGUUCUUGUCUCGGAGUGAAAUCUUAUGACAGGUUCUAAACCACUUAAAAUGAGAUAGUCUGGGAUAAGGAUGCAAUUGGCAGUCUUAGCAGCAUCUUGCUGCAUCUUGAAGCUACUGAAAUAAAGCAGUAGCAUGAGAGGUGUCAGCUCGUCCAUGCUGAGUGUGAUAUUUAAAUCAAUCUUUACAGAGUGAAGGACUGAGGAAAAGAAAAGAAAAAGUAUGUGUUUUCGUUUCUCUCUUUUUUUCUGGUUAUUCUUUGG